AACCUGGUUGAUCCUGCCAGUAGCAUAUGCUUGACUUGGAGAUUAAGCCAUGCAUGUCUAAGUAUAGUUAUAUACAGCGAAACUGCGAAUGGCUCAUUAAACCAGUUAUAAUCUACUUGGUGCUUUUUUUACAUGGAUAACCGUGGGAAACUAGGGCUAAUACAUGCGUAACCUUCGGGUGUAUUUAUUAGUUUCAAAUCAAUAUCGAUUGAGGAAUCAUAAUAACUGAUCGAAGCGAAUUUUCGCUAAAUCAUUCGAGUUUCUGCCCUAUCAGCUCUCGAUGGUAGUGUAUUGGACUACCAUGGCAGUAACGGGUAGCGGAGAAUUGGGGUUCGAUUCCGGAGAGGGAGCCUGAGAAAUGGCUACCAUUUCUAUGGAAGGCAGCAGGCGCGUAAAUUACCCAAUCCUAAUUCAGGGAGGUAGUUAAUAGAUAUAACAGGCUCGUGCCCCUGGUAUUGAGCAUGUAAUGAUGGCUAUGUAAACAAAAGUUAGAAUCUAUUGGAGGGCAAGUCUGGUGCCAGCAGCCGCGGUAAUUCCAGCUCCAAUAGCGUAUAUUAAUAUUGUUGCAGUUAAAAAGCUCGUAGUUGAAGUUCGGCGCUUCGGCGUCUGUCCGCAAGGAACUCCGAUCCCUUAAAAGUUCUGUUUUCCGAACGGACCUUUACUGUGAAUAAAAUAGAGUGCUCAAAGCAGGCUUCGCUUGUAUAAUAAAGCAUGGAAUAAUAAAACAAGAUUCUGUUCUUUUAUUGGUUAUGAAUAGAGUAAUGAUUAACAGAAUCAGUUGGGGGCAUUCGUAUUUUAUCGUCAGAGGUGAAAUUCUAGGAUUGAUAAAAGACGAACUAAUGCGAAAGCAUUUGCCAAGAAUGUUUUCAUUAAUCAAGAACGAAAGUUAGGGGAUCAAAGACGAUCAGAUACCGUCGUAGUCCUAACUAUAAACUAUACCGACUAGGGAUUGGUGAGUCUCAAAUCUCAUCAGCACCUAAUGAGAAAUCAAAGUCUUCGGGUUCUUGGGGGAGUAUGGUCGCAAGGCUGAAACUUAAAGGAAUUGACGGAAGGGCACCACCAGGAGUGGAGUCUGCGGCUUAAUUUGAUUCAACACGGGAAAACUUACCAGGGCAAAAAACUGAGAUGAUUGACAGCUUGAAAGUGCUUUCUUGAUCCUGUAGGAAGUGGUGCAUGGCCGUUCUUAGUUGGUGGAGUGAUUUGUCAGGUUAAUUCCCUUAACGAACGAGACCUUAACCUGCUAACUAGGUGCUGCUUAUUCAAGCGGUAUCCUUCUUAGAGGGACUACAGUUUUAAGACUGUGGAAGUGUGAGGCAAUAACAGGUCCGUGAUGCCCUUAGAAGUUCUGGGCCGCACGCGUACUACAAUGAUGCAUGCAAAAAGUUCUCCUAGUCCGAAAGGAAUGGGUAAUCUUCUUAAUGUGCAUCGUGCUUGGGAUAGAUCCUUGUAAUUGUGGGUCUUCAACCAGGAAUUCCUAGUAAGUGUGAGUCAUCAACUCACGCUGAUUAUGUCCCUGCCCUUUGUACACACCGCCCGUCGCUCCUACCGAUUUGGGUGAUUCGAUGAGCUCUCUAGAUCGGGUCCCUCCGGGAAACGAGACUUUGCGCAAAUCAUAUCACCUAGAGGAAGGAUAAGGCGUAACAAGGUUUCCGUAGGUGAACCUGCAGAAGGAUCAA
rnacentral:rRNA from 1 species